GAGUUUGAUCAUGGCUCAGAUUGAACGCUGGCGGCAUGCCUUACACAUGCAAGUCGAACGGCAGCACGGGAGCUUGCUCCUGGUGGCGAGUGGCGAACGGGUGAGUAAUGCAUCGGAACGUAUCCUGGAGUGGGGGAUAACGUAGCGAAAGUUACGCUAAUACCGCAUAUUCUGUGAGCAGGAAAGCGGGGGACCUUCGGGCCUCGCGCUCUUGGAGCGGCCGAUGUCGGAUUAGCUAGUUGGUGAGGUAAAGGCUCACCAAGGCGACGAUCCGUAGCAGGUCUGAGAGGAUGAUCUGCCACACUGGAACUGAGACACGGUCCAGACUCCUACGGGAGGCAGCAGUGGGGAAUUUUGGACAAUGGGGGCAACCCUGAUCCAGCCAUGCCGCGUGAGUGAAGAAGG
rnacentral:rRNA from 4 species